ACAAAUUGAAAAAAGCUAGGGCAUCAACCUUCGACGCCACAGACUGAACCACCACACCCUCCGGACCUUACUUGAACUACGAUGGGGUCAUACAAGUGUGCUUUGGAGUUAUGGAGAAAAAAGCAAACAGAUGUUAUUAGGGUUUUGCCCAAGAUGAGAUUGUGGGGGCACAGAGCUUUCCACACAGAGGAGGCCAAGCCAGAUCAGUUGCUGACAGUACUGAAAUCAGGAUGUGCAAGUCAAUCUACUGUUCCUGCAAACCAUUUGACUAGGGUGAGG